rfam:Procavia capensis cont1.105874, whole genome shotgun sequence.
ACUUUAGACGGGGCCUGAAGAAAAGGUGAGAGGACUGUGUUUGAAGUAGUGAUUUAAGUAUAUCAAAGAGUUUCAUGCAGCAAACUAAGCACUGAGUUAUUUUUUAAGGAACAGAAAGUUCAGCUUGUUGCAAGUUUGCCCUUUCUUCUUCAGUUGGAUAAUUUUCAAAGCAAAAGCCUUGAAAGGACUGAAGGUACCACCAGAACUAAAACUAG